rnacentral:rRNA from 1 species
GAUGAACGCUGGCGGCGUGCCUAAUACAUGCAAGUCGAGCGAACAGACGAGGAGCUUGCUCCUCUGACGUUAGCGGCGGACGGGGGAGUAACACGUGGAUAACCUACCUAUAAGACUGGGAUAACUUCGGGAAACCGGAGCUAAUACCGGAUAAUAUAUUGAACCGCAUGGUUCAAUAGUUAAAGACGGUUUUGCUGUCACUUAUAGAUUGAUCCGCGCCGCAUUAGCUAGUUGGUAAGGUAACGGCUUACCAAGGCAACGAUGCGUAGCCGACCUGAGAGGGUGAUCGGCCACACUGGAACUGAGACACGGUCCAGACUCCUACGGGAGGCAGCAGUAGGGAAUCUUCCGCAAUGGGCGAAAGCCUGACGGAGCAACGCCGCGUGAGUGAUGAAGGUCUUCGGAUCGUAAAACUCUGUUAUUAGGGAAGAACAAAUGUGUAAGUAACUAUGCACGUCUUGACGGUACCUAAUCAGAAAGCCACGGCUAACUACGUG